UAAAAGCAGAGCGGUCGGGAGUAGUAACACAGAGAGAGGGAGGGAGAGAGAGAGAGGAGGUCGAGAUCGCAUCGCACGCGGGGAAAGGAACAGCUUAAUAUUCGUAAUAAACAUCACUGUCGGGCUCGGCUUUUUGCUGGCCAUGAAGGUCGCGUGCUGGAUGUUGGCGCUGGCUCUGUGCGCUCUCGCGCUCCCCACGCUCUGCCUGGGCGUUCUGCCGUGGAGAGGCAGGCACAGGAAGUGGCACGUGACUAAGCAACGGAGACCCAACAUCAUGAAUCGACUGCCCACGUCUUAGAGAAUUAUAUAUGAGACGUGUGUGUCUGUGUGUGUCUGUCUGUGUGUGUCUGUGUGUGUGUCUGUCUGUGUGUCUGU